AGAGCAGUCUUGCUGCUGCAGGACUACACGAGGCUACAACAGGAGACUUUUAAUUUGGUUUAUCAGCAGGUCAUAUGAAUUUCAGCAAAGUGUUCCAGUCUACCUCAUCUUUUUUUUUUUUUUUUUUUUUUUCAUUUUUAGAAAAUAAAUCAGACUUCAUAACAUAGGCAAGAUGUUAUGAGAAACGCCCCUGAGUUCUGGUCUGAAAAUCACCAUGUCUCUGGAAAGGAGAAGGCUGGAGCACCCCUCCUACGAAGAGAGGCUGACGGAGCUGGGCUUGCUCAGCCUGGAGAAGAGAAGGCUCCAGAGAGACCUCACUGUGUUCAGCCAGUACUUAAAGGGAGAUUAUAAACAGGAGGGGAAUGAACUUUUAAAACAGGCCCCUCCAAAGCACAACAUUGAUGCCAAGACCACAAAUGGAAGCCACAAGGAGGAAAAUGAUAAGCAUCUUUGCAUUUCCUGGCACUCAGGCUGCCUCAGCAAGGAAUUCAUUCCCUGCCUGAACUGCUCAGCAAUAUGCACACCGUUUUACAUGUGAGUAAUGUGAGCCAUUUUGAUGCUCAAGUGUCCUGGCCAAAGUCUUGGAGGAGUCGUGGCCACAGAUGCAUAAACAGAGCUUGUAUGUCUUGUCUCUAAAUCAUGCUGACUAAGCACUAUGAGAAGUUUCUUGUCCCUCAUCAGCUCAGGUAGAUUCCUUUGUGCUAAAUCACUAGUAGUAAAAAGUAAAAAACAAUUAGAAUAAUUAACUCCUACAUAACCAUGUCAUGAUGCACUUUGCAAAGAUCUCCAAGAAUCCCUUAUCGCUGUUUUGCAUCUGGCUCAGCUGAAGCACUGGAAAGUGAAAUCAUUCAGCCCCAGGCCUGUCCUUUUCAGUCCUAGGUGUGUCUGAGUUCAGAGGCACUCUAAGGUCACCAUGAACUCUUGGAUCUCAGCUCUCUGCUGUCCAAGGUGCAGGACUGUCCUUAGGCAACACCAGGACACCAAAAACGGAGCCAAAACAUCCCUUGGGCAAGAGAAGGAGGAUGAGCUGGUGCAUUGCGUGGCGGAUGAGAUAGGACUCGAUGCACAGUCCUGGACGAUGCCAUUUCUCCCAGCUCCAAGCAGAGGGUGGUUUCUGCAUCUCUAAACAUUUCUAUUUUAUUUUUUUUGUGGAUCUCAUAGUAGGCUGUUUUGGCUUACCUGACACCUCAUUUCCAUAAUCGUGCUGCUUUGCGUAACUGGGAACACUUGUUCUCACCAUGGGUAAAGCAAGCAUUAGCUGGCAUGGAUCUCAGCAGAUUAUGCACCUCAAGGA
rnacentral:lncRNA from 1 species